UGCCUUGGCCUCCCAAAGUGCUGGGAGUACGGGUGUGAGCCAUUGAGCCUGGCCAACUUUCUAAUCUCUCUCUCUCUCUUUUUUUUUUUUUCCUUUUUGAGACAGAGUCUCACUCUGUCGCCCAGGCUGGAGUGCAGUGGUGCAAUCUCAGCUCACUGCAACCUCUGCCUCCUGGGUUCAAGCAAUUCUCAUGCCUCAACCUCCUGAGUAGCUGGGAUUACAGGUGUGUGCCAUCAUGCCCGGCUAAUUUUUGUAUUUUUAGUAGAGAUGUGAUUUCUCCAUGUUGGCCAAGCUGGUCUCUAACUCCUGAACUCAGUUGAUCCACCAGACUUGACCUCCAAAAGUGCUGGGAUUACAGGCGUGAGCCACUGCACCCACCGCGACUUUCUCAUCUCUUCUAUUCCCUGCCUUUCCUGACCAGCCCAGCCUGGCCACCAAGUCUGUUUACUCUGAGUACGGCAAAAGAGCAUGAGAAGAGGUUACAGAACAGUGAGCAUCUCAGCUCACCAAUAUCCCUGACACCACAAAUGUGCUCUCAGCCUUAUCCUGAAGCUUUCCCUGGCCAGGCUGUCACAGUUGCUGAGUAAGACUUUGCCAAUGUCUCCUUCCUUCUCCCGUUCUGGGAACCACAUUUCUUCAGUCUUGGGAUGUUCCUCAGCACCAUCUGCUACUUGUUUUCAUUGCUCAGUGCCAACUCAGUCUUCUUAUCCAGUGCCUGGAUUGAACUUUAGGGCAUCCCAGCCUUUGGGUAUAGGGUACGCUUUCAAGACUAAGCUAGAGCCUUUAUUCUGUGGGGUUUUUCUCCCACAACAUCUCUCUGAUUUUCUAUGCGGGGAGGAUUCAGACUUCCACUGACUCCAGGAAACUUGACUAUCUGUGGUUACAGAAAGAAGGGACUGUUCAUAGCCAGGCCAGAUGUGACUUCAGCUUGUAAGAUCAUGAAUCAAAGGCAAGGACAAUCAGGGGAGAGGCACUACACAUCAAAUCAGAAGUGAGCUAGGAAGAAAGGGGAGACCAAGAAAGGGGAUGAUCAUUCACUCUGAUCAUCGGAGUGAAGUUGAUCUGACCUGGAGGAAAGCCUAUGGCAUCAUGGAGAGCUCCCUGCUCAGUAGGGAGCUUGGAGGAAUUAGUGAGUGACAAGGAACACACAGCUCUGACAGAAGGGGGUUGGGGGUUGGGAAGAGGAAAUAAGCCAGAGUCAGGAUGGAGGACAGGCUCUUGAGGGGCCCAAAGGUGCCUCUGCACUGUUCCCUGCACCAGUCCAAAUUUGUGCCAGGCAGACUUCACUUGGUAGCAAACACUCUGGCUGCCAAAAAUUCCUGAGGAGAGAGAAGGGCUAGAGGGCACAGGGAAGGCUUGUGUCCCAAUGGGAGAGUUACCGAGUUCGGUUUGGGAGGGAAGGAACAGCUAGGGCAAAGGGCUGGCCCAGCUUUCUCCCCUUCAGACACCCAGCUCUACAAGAUCAUUUUGCCUGGUGUGUCCCACAGACUGUAGUAUAGGCUGGUUCCUCUGCUUCUCAUUCCACUUGUCAGUUCUGUAGGCAGGAGGACUGGUACCCAGCAACAGCAGUCACCCACAAAGUAAUCUGGUCCUCUCAUGCACGUGGGCUGCACUCGUGGCUGGAAUAUCUGCAGCCAAGGUCUUGGCUCAGAAGUGAAUGGCUCAAGCCCAGAAAAAGGCAAAAUUCCUCCAAGAUGGAAAUCAGCCCCUAGGAACCAGGCAGAAUAGAGUAAUACAUGUUUUCCUAUGCCCUGAAAUCUGGGGAGCCUCAGCAAUGCUUAAGACCCAGCAACUUGGGCUCAGCCUUUCCUGAGCGGUGUCAAGUGCCAAAGGACAAACAUCAUGCUAAAGUCAAUUUCUGCGAAAGAGGUUACUGCAUAUGAAGAGAUGGCUGAACCUUCUGACUACAUCCUGAGAGCCUCAGGCCGCAGGAUUUGGGACACAUCUAUCCUGGUGCCCACAGAAUCAAGAAGCAAGAAGUCUGGACCACAAAGGCCUCUGGCAGUGCAGCUUAUCUCCUGGUCCAGGGAAGACAGUGGUCAUCCUAGCAGCACAUCAUUGUUCAGCUGACCCUC
rnacentral:lncRNA from 1 species